rnacentral:rRNA from 1 species
UACGUAGGGGGCUAGCGUUGUCCGGAAUCAUUGGGCGUAAAGAGCGCGUAGGCGGCCAGAUAAGUCCGGUGUGAAAGUCACAGGCUCAACCUGUGAAUGCCGCUGGAAAACUAUCUGGCUAGAGUCCGGAAGAGGCGAGUGGAAUUCCUGGUGUAGCGGUGGAAUGCGCAGAUAUCAGGAGGAACACCAAUAGCGAAGGCAGCUCGCUGGGACGUUACUGACACUGAGGCGCGAAAGCGUGGGGAGCGAACAGG